rnacentral:lncRNA from 1 species
GACUAUGAGAGUUAAGAUGUAAGCUAUGAUGAGGUCAUUUGUGCCAUUCUUGAACCCCAACCAGAUAAAGUACAAGUUUUCCCUCCGAGGAUCUCAUUGUAGCUCAAACGAAAUUUAGUUUAAGGAUCUAAUUAAAAGGCUUGGAAAGUCCUAUGACCCAAAAAAAAUAAAAGGAUUAGAAAGUCUCAAGUUUUCUAAAGAUGUAUUUUGCUUCCUCUCAGCAAGAAACAAUGGCGUUUGUGAUGAUUUGGAUAUAAGAGUGAUCUUGUAGUGUCAGUAUUUUUUUUUUUUUUUUUGUCAUCAUUACAAAUUAUACGUCUCUCUUUGAGAGGGACCGGACUCGAACCCGGAUUUGGUGAGAAGGCAACAGAAGUGAGAACCACUAGCCCACUUAUCCUUCUCUUGUAGUAGUUAGUAUUAU